GAAUUUUGGACAAUGGGCGAAAGCCUGAUCCAGCAAUGCCGCGUGCAGGACGAAGGCCUUCGGGUUGUAAACUGCUUUUGUACGGAACGAAAAGCUUUGGGUUAAUACCCUGGAGUCAUGACGGUACCGUAAGAAUAAGCCCCGGCUACCUACGUGCCAGCAGCCGCGGUAAUACGGAGGGUGCAAGCGUUAAUCGGAAGUACUGGGCGUAACGCGUGCUCCGGGGGUUGUGUAAGACAGAGGUGAAAUCCCCGAGCUCAACCGGGGAACUGCCUGUGUGACUGCAAGGCUAGAGUACGGCAGAGGGGGGUGGAAUUCCGCGUGUAGCAGUGAAAUGCGUAGAUAUGCGGAGGAACACCGAUGGCGAAGGCAACCCCCUGGGCCUGUACUGACGCUCAUGCACGAAAGCGUGGGGAGCAAA
rnacentral:rRNA from 1 species